rnacentral:rRNA from 1 species
UACGAGGGGGGCGAGCGUUGUUCGGAAUUAUUGGGCGUAAAGGGUGCGUAGGCGGUUCCGCAAGUCCUGUGUGAAAUCUUCGGGCUCAACUCGAAGUCUGCACGGGAAACUGCGGGGCUUGAGUGUGGGAGAGGUGAGUGGAAUUCCCGGUGUAGCGGUGAAAUUCGUAGAUAUUCGGAAGAACACCAGUGGCGAAGGCGACUGACUGGACAAGUAUUGACGCUGAGGUGCGAAAGCGUGGGGAGCAAACAGG